GGGUCGUCCGUGCGCACGCUUGAUCUGGGCCGUCCGUGCGCGCGGGGACGCAUCUGGGCCGUCCGAUCGCGCGCACGUGGAUCGCCCACGUGGCCCGUUCCCCGGUAGACGUGGUCUUGCCACGCGGCAGGUCCUGGUUGGCCAGGGUUGCUGACUGGGCCGCUGACAUGGCUGCUGACGUGGCGCUGACGGGGCACAAUUUUUCUAAAUUGCGU
rnacentral:lncRNA from 1 species